CUUUCUUGGAGGAACUAGACUGUUAGUCGUGCGCCUCCCAGCCAUGACGGAGGCGCGGCGCACAGCUCAGUAGCACAUGGCUAACCUGCCCUUGAGACGAGAACAACCCCGGGAAACUGGGGCUAAUUCUCGAUAGGUGAAGCUUCCUGGAAUGGAUUUUCGCCCAAAAGGCGUCUAGGUCAUGCUUCUAGGCGUUGCUCAAGGAUGGGGCCGUGGCCGACCAGGUUGUUGGUGAGGUAAUGGCUCACCAAGCCUAUAACCGGUGCGGGCCGUGGGAGCGGGAGCCCGGAGAUGGGAACUGAGACAAGAUCCCAGGCCCUACGGGGCGCAGCAGUCGCGCAAACUUCGCAAUAAGCGAAAGCUUGACGGGGCUAUCCCGAGUGCCAUCCGCUGAGGAUGGCUUUUCUUCAGUAUAGAUAGCUGGGGGAAUAAGGAGAGGGCAAGUCUGGUGUCAGCCGCCGCGGUAAUACCAGCUCUCCGAGUGAUGAGGACGAUUAUUGGGCCUAAAGCAUCCGUAGCUGGUUGAACAAGUCCCCUGUUAAACCCACCGAUUUAAUCGUUGGUCUGCGGGGGAUACUGCUCGGCUAGGGGACGAGAGAGGCAGGCGGUAUUCUCGGGGUAGGGGUGAAAUCCUAUAAUCCCGGGAAGACCACCAGUGGCGAAGGCUGCCUGCUAGAGCGCGCCCGACGGUGAGGGAUGAAAGCUGGGGGAGCGAACCGGAUUAGAUACCCGGGUAGUCCCAGCUGUAAACGAUGCAGACUAGGUGUUUGGACGGCCACGUGCCGUUCUAGUGCCGCAGGGAAGCUGUUAAGUCUGCCGCCUGGGGAGUACGAUCGCAAGAUUGAAACUUAAAGGAAUUGGCGGGGGAGCACCACAAGGGGUGAAGCUUGCGGUUUAAUUGGAGUCAACGCCGGG
rnacentral:rRNA from 1 species